rnacentral:rRNA from 1 species
UACGUAGGGGGCAAGCGUUGUCCGGAUUUAUUGGGCGUAAAGAGCGCGUAGGCGGCCAUGCAGGUCCGCUGUGAAAACUCGAGGCUCAACCUCGAGACGUCGGUGGAAACCGUAUGGCUAGAGUCCGGAAGAGGAGAGUGGAAUUCCCGGUGUAGCGGUGAAAUGCGCAGAUAUCGGGAAGAACACCCGUGGCGAAGGCGGCUCUCUGGGACGGUACUGACGCUGAGACGCGAAAGCGUGGGGAGCGAACAGG